rnacentral:rRNA from 1 species
UUGUAGUACUGGGACUCUAACCAUAGGCCAUGAAUCUGGUCUUGGGACACUGUCAGGUGGGCAGUUUGACUGGGGCGGUCGCCUCCCAAAAGGUAACGGAGGCGCUCAAAGGUUCUCUCAGGACGGUCGGAAAUCGUACGUAGAGUGUAAAGGCAAAAGAGAGCUUGAUUGCAAGACAUACAGGUCGAGCAAGGAUGAAAAUCGGACUUAGUGAUCCGGUGGUUCUGCGUGGAAGGGCCAUCGCUCAACGGAUAAAAGCUACCCUGGGGAUAACAGGCUUAUCUCCCCCAAGAGUCCACAUCGACGGGGAGGUUUGGCACC